UACGUAGGGACCAAGCGUUGUUCGGAUUUACUGGGCGUAAAGGGCGCGUAGGCGGCUUAACAAGUCACUUGUGAAAUCUCCGGGCUUAACUCGGAACGGCCAAGUGAAACUGUCAAGCUAGAGUCCGGAAGAGGAGAAUGGAAUUCCCGGUGUAGCGGUGAAAUGCGCAGAUAUCGGGAAGAACACCCGUGGCGAAGGCGGUUCUCUGGGACGGUACUGACGCUGAGACGCGAAAGCUAGGGGAGCAAACAGG
rnacentral:rRNA from 1 species